rnacentral:sRNA from 1 species
UGACCACCUUAUUUAUAAAAGGUUAAGCCCACACGGACAGGCGGGUCAGUUGCCGA